GGGGAAUAUUGGUCAAUGGGCGCAAGCCUGAACCAGCCACGCCGCGUGAGUGAUGAAGGCCUUCGGGUUGUAAAGCUCUGUGGGGAGGGACGAAAACGGUCCGGAAGAAACGACGGAUCCUUGACGGUACCUCCUUAGCAAGCACCGGCUAACUCUGUGCCAGCAGCCGCGGUAAUACAGAGGGUGCGAACGUUGCUCGGAAUUACUGGGCGUAAAGCGCGUGUAGGCGGGACGAUAAGUCGGAAGUGAAAUCCCCGGGCUCAACCCGGGAACUGCUUUCGAAACUGCCGUCCUCGAGUACCGGAGAGGGUGGCGGAAUUCCUGGUGUAGAGGUGAAAUUCGUAGAUAUCAGGAGGAACACCGGUGGCGAAGGCGGCCACCUGGACGGUCACUGACGCUGAGACGCGAAAGCGUGGGGAGCAAAC
rnacentral:rRNA from 1 species